rnacentral:rRNA from 1 species
CCCUCCCUCUGGCCGCAUGCCUAACACAUGCAAGUCGAACGAGACCUUCGGGUCUAGUGGCGCACGGGUGCGUAACGCGUGGGAACCUGCCCUUAGGUUCGGAAUAACUCCCCGAAAGGGGUGCUAAUACCGGAUAAUGUCUUCGGACCAAAGAUUUAUCGCCUUUGGAUGGGCCCGCGUUGGAUUAGCUAGUUGGUAGGGUAAAAGCCUACCAAGGCGACGAUCCAUAGCUGGUCUGAGAGGAUGAUCAGCCACACUGGGACUGAGACACGGCCCAGACUCCUACGGGAGGCAGCAGUGGGGAAUAUUGGACAAUGGGCGAAAGCCUGAUCCAGCAAUGCCGCGUGAGUGAUGAAGGCCUUAGGGUUGUAAAGCUCUUUUACCCGGGAUGAUAAUGACAGUACCGGGAGAAUAAGCUCCGGCUAACUCCGUG